UUCAGGUGAGCAAACCCAUCUUAUUUGAGAACCAAAAUUAAAACCUAUGCCUGUGUAUUUGGCAACCAAAAUUUGCUUGAAAGCAUACAAAGCCGUAUUGGAAUCCUGUGCUCAUGUAUGGAUUUCAUGAAGGUCUACAAAACUAUUGGGAGGGUGCAUUCUUCACUUGAGAGAUGAUUCUUGCGCUCGAGCGGUGUCAUUUGUUGUGUCUGGACGCUCAAGUGACAUUUCUUGCGCUCGAGUGGUUUGUCCGAAUUCAACAAUUGUAAAAGUCACUUUUGAUCACAUUUGGAUCACUUUUCUCUCUCCCUUCUCUCUCUCUCUCAAAUGCUGAAACUCUUUUAUAUUCCUUGACA